rnacentral:lncRNA from 1 species
GACAAAAUAUCUUGGAGCCUUAAUUGAUUCAAUUUAAUGUCGUUUUGUUGAUAUGAAUGUCACUAUUUUAAUUUGUAUUUAUGUGGAUUUUGGGUGUUUGGGGCACCACCAUUUUUCCUCGAUAUAUAUAUUUUUUAAUUCUUAAAAGUUCUAUCAUUGUCUCACUUCAUCAGUACAUUCAGCAUUAUAACCACCUACCCUGUUCUCCCCAUUUGACCACUGAAAGAACCUGCAGAGCAGCAGAAGACCAGCAGGAGCAGAGCGAGAGCACCAGGAGACAAUUGUUGGUGCACCAGGAGCAAGGCCCUGCAAUGCAGCUGAUGAGCCCAUUUACCCAGAUGAUUCAGCCUGCCCAGCAGCUGAACAGCAUGGCCGCAGAUCUAUCUAUGUUCCAGCACUUACUGUUUUUGGAGAGGGAAGUAUUCCCCUCCUGUGUGAAAGCCAAGGGGGAAUGCCUCCGUGAAGAAGGUGCCUUCCAUCAGCAGAUGUGACAAGUAUUUAGAUCACAAUUAAUAAUUUUAGAAUGUAUUCUCUAAUUAAACAUGGCUGCCUUUUUGACUGUGUAAAUGGUUUUUAACAGACCUACAAAUUAAUUGAUUUAAGAUUCCAGUUUCCCACCUAGCCUAAAACAAGUGAUUGACUGGGCAGAGUAGUUCCAUUAUUAGCUGACCUCAAGACUUAGUGCAGCAUCUGAAGCCGCCAGCUGAAAUGAGGGUGGAGGGAUGGAAAUAACAGCUGAAUGACCUCGUGUCCCAUUCUUUCUUCUAGUCUUGUUCAUGGUCUGAACUGUUUUCCUUUCUACUGCUUGAAAUGGAAAAGAAAUCCUUUGAACCGGCUGCAUGUGUGGUCUAUGUAGUUCUCUGUUGAAGGCAUGGCCAGGGAUUGAGAGGGCUUUGGAUAUUGUGGGCCAAAGGUUUUUUCUGAUCCAUGCCCAUGGUCUUCCCAAAUAACUGAAGAAAACCCCUGUAGACAUUUCUUUCUGAGAUAUUGGAGAGACCUUAGAAAAGAUUCACAAUUUAAUAAAAUAAAAUGACCACUUACUCA